AUUAGAGGGUGGAAGGAGAAACUACUAUCUAUUGGUGGGAGAGAGGUCUUACUAAAGGCUGUAGUACAAGCUAUUCCCUCAUACGCAAUGUCAGUUUUCAAACUUCCAAAACAAGUGUGCAACAGUAUAACCACCGCCAUGUCGAAAUAUUGGUGGGGAGAUGAGGAUUUGAAAAAACAUAUGCAUUGGUUUUCUUGGUGGAAGAUGUGCGUCCCGAAAGAGAAGGGUGGUAUGGGCUUCCGGGACUUGCAUUGCUUUAAUUUGGCUCUUUUGGCAAAACAGUGUUGGAGGCUUUUGUGUGAACCGGAAUCAUUAUGUGCCAGAGCAUUGAAAGCAAAGUAUUUCCCCAAUGGUGACCUUCUGAACUGUACGUUGAAGAAGGGUAGUUCAUAUACCUGG
rnacentral:rRNA from 1 species